UACUCGAGUGGUGAACGGGUGAGUAACACGUGGGUGAUCUGCCCUGCACUUCGGGAUAAGCCUGGGAAACUGGGUCUAAUACCGGAUAGGACCACAUUUUGGAUGGUGUGGUGGAAAGUUUUUCGGUGUGGGAUGAGCUCGCGGCCUAUCAGCUUGUUGGUGGGGUAAUGGCCUACCAAGGCGUCGACGGGUAGCCGGCCUGAGAGGGUGUACGGCCACAUUGGGACUGAGAUACGGCCCAG
rnacentral:rRNA from 1 species